CUGCCCUUUGUACACACCGCCCGUCGCUACUACCCGAUUGAAUGGCUCAGUGAGGCGUCCGGACUGGCCCAGAGAGGUGGGCAACUACCACUCAGGGCCGGAAAGCUCUCCAAACUCGGUCAUUUAGAGGAAGUAAAAGUCGUAACAAGGUCUCCGUUGGUGAACCAGCGGAGGGAUCAUUACCGAGUUUACAACUCCCAAACCCCUGUGAACAUACCACUUGUUGCCUCGGCGGAUCAGCCCGCUCCCGGUAAAACGGGACGGCCCGCCAGAGGACCCCUAAAACUCUGUUUCUAUAUGUAACUUCUGAGUAAAACCAUAAAUAAAUCAAAACUUUCAACAACGGAUCUCUUGGUUCUGGCAUCGAUGAAGAACGCAGCAAAAUGCGAUAAGUAAUGUGAAUUGCAGAAUUCAGUGAAUCAUCGAAUCUUUGAACGCACAUUGCGCCCGCCAGUAUUCUGGCGGGCAUGCCUGUUCGAGCGUCAUUUCAACCCUCAAGCACAGCUUGGUGUUGGGACUCGCGUUAAUUCGCGUUCCUCAAAUUGAUUGGCGGUCACGUCGAGCUUCCAUAGCGUAGUAGUAAAACCCUCGUUACUGGUAAUCGUCGCGGCCACGCCGUUAAACCCCAACUUCUGAAUGUUGACCUCGGAUCAGGUAGGAAUACCCGCUGAACUUAAG
rnacentral:rRNA from 1 species